GAGCAGUUUUUCUCUCGCCCCGAGGGAGGUGCGACGGCGGGACGUGCCUCUUUUAUAGCCUGGGAGGUAGUGGUUGAGCAUUAAAAUGCUGCGGUAGAGAGCUAGGUAGAGCUGCACUAGAGGAUUAUUUUGUGAACCCCCUAAAUGGCGGGAGGCAAGCCACCUGGCUUCUUUUGCGUUUUCUACCACGUUAUGUUUUGUGUCUUCGUUUUGACCCUUUUCGGAGAAGGCAAUGGCACCCCACUCCAGUACUCUUGCCUGGAAAAUCCCAUGGACGGAGGAGCCUGUUAGACUGCAGUCCAUGGGGUCGCUAGGAGUCGGACACGACUGUAUAACUUUCAAGUAGACAACCUGAGCGACAUCACUUUCACUUUUCACUUUCAUGCAUUGGAGAAGGAAAUGGCAAGCCACUCCAGUGUUCUUGCCUGGAGAAUCCCAGGGACGGGGGAGCCUGGUGGGCUGCCGUCUCUGGGGUCACACAGAGUCGGACACGACUGAAGCGACUUAGCAACUUAGCAGUUUGACCCUUUUACGUGGCCUCAGUUUACUUGGCUUAAAUUCUCUGAGUCUUGAUUUCCUCAUCUUUAAAAUGAGGGGCCUGGCUACAGUCUCGGACAUUCCAUCCUUCACGUGUCCACAUCUUCCUGACGGCAGACAUGGCAGGACCAGUCAUUUUCCCUGGGGCUGAAUCUAUUAGAUCUACACAGGAGAGCAUUGAGAGAGCUAAUUGGAAAGAUUGCUAAGCUUGCUGCAAGAAGCCAGAGAGGGGCAUUUUAUUUCUCACUUGGAUGCUUGCUGAGCCGCAGAACACGUAGGUCUCCCCUGGAGCUGUCAUGGAAGUAUGGUGAUGAAAUUACUAGGAGAACUUGGCUUGUACCCUCUGGGACUUGGAGCAGAGUACCCUGACUGCCUCUGGACUUGAGUGCAUGAAGCAAGCAUCCGUGUCUGGGAGACCCAGUGAAAAUGAACUUUAGGGCAACUACUGGCUGUCAGCAGGCAAGAAACGGAGGCCCCCAGUCCAGCAGGACAGAGAUCGCUGACUCCUGCUAGCAAGCAUAUGAAGCUGGGAGCAGAUCCCUCUCCAGUUGAGCUUUCAGAUGAGAUGCUGGAAACCUCGAUUGAAGCUUCAUGAGAGACCCCGAAGCAGAGGACCUGGACUGCAGUAUAAGUCCCUGGAGAUUGUUCUCAGAAAUAAAUAUAAC
ensembl:lncRNA